rnacentral:lncRNA from 1 species
CCGGGAUAAAAUAUUCCGGCAAAAAAUUAUUUUGUUUGGCGGAAUAGCGGGGAUAACUUUCGUUAUUUAUACCGCCAACCAAACGGUGCCUUAAAGUUUAAUAAGACAACAUAUUUUAUAUACGAGAUAAUUUAUCUUAUUAUAUAUGAAAUGCUAACUCAAAAGUCCAUAUAGUAUCAUUCGAAACAUUUGAUUUUACUUUUCAUUUAUCAAAUACUGCAUGCUAUUUUUUUAGUAAUUCAAAAUACAAAAUUUAAGUCACAUUAUAGAUAAAAUAUGUUAUUUG